rnacentral:rRNA from 1 species
AUGAGGAGCCCCCCAACGGCCGUCAUGGCGGUGGCAGCGCUGCUGCUGCUGCUGGUAUCCCUGGCGGCGGCGGUGGCGAACACGGCGGACAGGGAGUUGCACCAUCGGGUCUUGGCGGGGUUUAAGGCAGGGCACGGCAAGAAGAUGAGCGAGAAGGAGACCCGGCGGUUGUUUGCCGAGUGGAAGGCCAAGCACGGCAGGAAGUACAGCUCCGCUCGCGAGGAGGAUCGCCGUUACGCUAUCUUCAAGGAGGGCCUCCGCGACGCCGAUCUGCACAAGGCCGGCUUCGGCCCCGACGCAGUUUUCGGCAUCAACAUGUUCAGCGACUACACCGAUGAGGAGUGGAGAACCCUGAGCCAGGGAUAUAAGCCAUAUAUACCAAGAGAAGAACCUCAUCCACAUAUGCUUCCAAUCUAUAUCUGUGAUUAUGGCACUCAUGCUUGUGGCCACAGCAUGCUGAUCGCUAGGCCUCCUGUUUCUGGACAUGCCCCUACCCACCCGGACGAGAGGAAUACCGGCCACGCCUCCCAAGCUGUCCCACUGACACACACUUUGUCUACUGAGCACGUCGUCUUUCGUCGUGGCACUCUACUUCCUUCGUAA